rnacentral:rRNA from 1 species
UACAGAGGUCUCAAGCGUUUGUUCGGAUUCAUUGGGCGUAAAGGGUGCGUAGGCGGCGCGGUAAGUCGGGUGUGAAAUCUCGGAGCUUAACUCCGAAACUGCAUUCGAUACUGCCGUGCUUGAGGACUGGAGAGGAGACUGGAAUUUACGGUGUAGCGGUGAAAUGCGUAGAUAUCGUAAGGAAGACCAGUGGCGAAGGCGGGUCUCUGGACAGUUCCUGACGCUGAGGCACGAAGGCCAGGGGAGCAAACGGGAUUAGA